rnacentral:rRNA from 1 species
UACGUAGGGUGCAAGCGUUAAUCGGAAUUACUGGGCGUAAAGCGUGCGCAGGCGGCUUCGCAAGUCAGACGUGAAAUCCCCGGGCUUAACCUGGGAAUGGCGUUUGAAACUACGGAGCUGGAGUGUGGCAGAGGGAGGUAGAAUUCCACGUGUAGCGGUGAAAUGCGUAGAUAUGUGGAGGAACACCAGUGGCGAAGGCGACUCUCUGGUCUGUAACUGACGCUGAGGAGCGAAAGCGUGGGGAGCAAACAGG